GACGAACGCUGGCGGCGUGCCUAAUACAUGCAAGUCGAACGCAGUGGGGACGGGUGCGUAACACGUGGGUAACCUCCCAUCAGAGGGGAUAACACUUGGAAACAGGUGCUAAACCGCUACUGAUGGAUGGACCCGCGGUGCAUGAGCUAGUUGGUGAGGUAACGGCUCACCAGGGCCACGCUGAAUAGCCGGCCGGAGUGUGGGACCGGCCAUAAUGGGAGUGAGACACGGCCCAGACUCCUACGGGAGGUAGCAGUAGGGAAUCUUCGGCAAUGGACGAAAGUCUGACCGAGCCACGCCGAGUGAGGUAAGAAGGUUUGCGGAUCGUAACACUCUGUGGUUAGAGAAGCGUUAUCUAACCAGAAAGCCACGGCUAACUACGUGCCAGCAGCCGCGGUAAUUC
rnacentral:rRNA from 1 species